rnacentral:misc_RNA from 1 species
UAAUGAGAUCAAGAACUACUGGAAUACGCAUCUUAAGAAAAGGUUAGCCAAAAUGGGGAUUGAUCCGGUGACUCACAAGCCAAAAAAUGAUACCUUGCUUUCCAGUGACGGUCAAUCCAAGAAUGCAGCAAAUCUUAGCCACAUGGCUCAGUGGGAGAGUGCCCGGCUCGAAGCUGAGGCUAGGUUGGUUAGAGAAUCCAAGCUGCGUUCACAUUCCUUUCAGGAGCAGCUCAGCCCUGCAGGGUAUGUUUCUGGCUCAGGCUCAGGCUCAGUUUCAGCUUCUGCUUCUACUUUGGCCCAGCCGCAACGGUCUGUUGAUGUACUAAAAGCUUGGAAUGGUGGGUGGUCUAAGUCUAGUGAAGGUAAUAUUGGCAAUGGUCUUAACACUACUGGAAUUGGAGGUGAUCACCUUGAGUCUCCAACAUCUACCCUUACUUUCUCAGAAAAUGCACCACCACCGAUCAUGAACUCAUCAGGAAUUGGAGGAGAUAACUCUAUUCCUAUGAUUGAGUUGGUUGAAACUUCAGGUUCAUCAGAGACAGGAAUUAUCAAAGGUGAACAUGAUUGGAAAACCCUUGGAAAUUCAAGUCAUCAUCAUCAUCAUCAUAUGCCUGAGAAUUCAGUUUCUUUUACGUCUAGUCUUCACCAUCCUGACAUGACAAUUUCCAUGGAAGGACCGUGGUCUCCAGAGUCUCUGAGGUUAAAUAGCAGUCAUAUUCAUGCAGGAAAUGUCGUGGAAGAAGGUUUCACUAAUCUCCUGCUUAGUGAUUCUGGUGACAGGUUGUCGGACAGUGGUAAGGAGUCGGAUAACAGUGGUGGCAGCGGCAGCGAUUAUUAUGAAGAUAACAAGAAUUACUGGAACAGCAUUCUUAAUUUGGUGAAUUCUUCUCCCACAGAUUCGCCAAUGUUCUAAGAACUGGAAGACGUUAUGCACAAGAAGCUACGAGUGGUAUAUAUAGCAUUUCUCAACCCAAGUGUAGUGAUUUUUUUUUUUUAACUACUUCCCAUUGUUUUCUCAUUGUCAUUCAAAAGUGAAAGUGAUUAUACCAUAGGAAAAUGUUUUCCAAAAGGGUAUUGAUUGCUUCCACUGUGUGUGUUCUGCGGAUAUAUAUAUGUUCAAGUGUGAAUUCAUAAAUUAGAUUGAUGCGGAAGCAACAAAUGCCGUUUUGGCUCUCUCCCUUUGUCGUUUAUUUCUUCUCUCUUUCAUGUGAAGUGUUAAUAGCUACUCUGCUGGUUCCCCUGAUCAUCAGCUGUGUUCAAGUGGAAUAGAGUUAAACUUGUUUGUCAAACUUAAUGGCAAUUAACAUGUUUCUUAUUGGUCAA